ensembl:lncRNA
UCUGUCUCUCUGUCUCUCUCUCUCUGUCUCUCUCUCUCUCUCUCUCUCUCUCAGAGCUGUGUUUUCUUCAGCUGGUUCUUCUGCCUUUUGACAACCAAGACGAGACAGAAGUCAGACAGAAAGGCAUUAGCACAGUGAUUAUGAAAGCUGGCUAACCAAAUGAGCCGUAUCUGUUUUAGAAGUGUGGAAAAUAAGUUGUGUUAUUCAUUUUGGAGGUACUGCUUAGUGACAUUACUUAAACACACAAUAUAACUGUUCAAAUUUGCCAAAAAAAAAGUGUUUUUCAGGAAGGUAUUUUGAAGGGUAUAUUUGUGUUACUGAUCUCCCCUGUUGUAGUGAAGGUUUGUGGGAAGGUUAGACUACACAGGUUGGUGACUACAAUGCUUGGGCAUAUUUCUUGUAAGAUUUAUAACGUAAGGCCUUAAUUUUGCCUGUUGCCAUUGGUCAACUUACCAACCAUUCUUUCAGUCUUAGCUAAUGGGAGCUCACCAGAUAGAUUCUUGCCGAAGGAGACGUCGUUUGAUUGGUCGGUCGGUCGGUUCGGCUGGCACUUCCCGAACCGAUAAUUUUGCACAGUAUUAUGCCGCGUUCACGUACUAGUGGGAAUUAGGAAACCUCUGAAAUGGCUGACUUGUUUGUAGUUAUACACGAGCUGUGUUCAACCAGUUAGCAAGUCGGACAUGUCAGAGUUUCCUUGUUCUGACCAGCACUUGAAUGUGGCAAUACAGAUGGACGACAAACAUCAUGGGCUUAGUCUCAAGGGCACCCUAUUCCCUAUAUAGUGCACUACUUUUGACCAGCGGUGUAGGGAAUAGGGUGCCUUUUGGGACCUACCCAUAGAAUAUUUCCAAGGGGGUUUGUGAAACUCCCAUCUGUGAUUUCUUCUGUUUUUUUUCUUUCCCUUCUUCGUUUCAUACAUUUUUUUUAAGGUGUCUCAUAAAAGCCAAAAGUAUAGUUUACUAACGCAUUUUGCACAAAAUAAACAUUAAAAAACCAUGGUAUGAAGUCACUUUGUAUAAGAAAAAAUCAUUGAACAUUUACUAAUACCUGUAUCAUCCAUAGUUUAUUACAGAGCCAUAUAUUUAGAGACUUAGGACAAAUACUAUGUUUUAUAUUGUUAUAGUUCUAGACAUUCAGGUACAUAGCAUUGUAUAAAUAUUCCCCAUGUAACGUUAAUAGGGUUCUAACAUGGCUGUUAUAGAAUGUUGUAGUGUCAUAAUGGUGUUCUAACAUGGCUGUUAUAGAAUGUUGCAGUGUCAUAAUGGUGUUCUAACAUGGCUGUUAUAGAAUGUUGUAGUGUCAUGUUAAUGGGGUUCUAACAUGGCUGCUAUAGAAUGUUGUUGUGUCAUGUUAAUGGGGUUCUAACAUGGCUGUUAUAGAAUGUUGUAGUGUCAUAUUAAUGGGAUUCUAACAUGGCUGUUAUAGAAUGUUGUAGUGUCAUGUUAAUGGGGUUCUAACAUUGCUGUUAUAGAAUGUUGUAGUGUCAUAUUAAUGGGGUUCUAACAUGGCUGUUAUAGAAUGUUGUAGUGUCAUGUCAAUGGGAAUCUAACAUGGCUGUUAUAGAAUGUUGUAGUGUCAUGUUAAUGGGG